GUGCCAGCCGCCGCGGUAAUACAGAGGGUGCGAGCGUUAAUCGGAUUUACUGGGCGUAAAGCGUGCGUAGGCGGCUUUUUAAGUCGGAUGUGAAAUCCCCGAGCUUAACUUGGGAAUUGCAUUCGAUACUGGGAAGCUAGAGUAUGGGAGAGGAUGGUAGAAUUCCAGGUGUAGCGGUGAAAUGCGUAGAGAUCUGGAGGAAUACCGAUGGCGAAGGCAGCCAUCUGGCCUAAUACUGACGCUGAGGUACGAAAGCAUGGGGAGCAAACAGGAUUAGAUACCCUGGUAGUCCAUGCCGUAAACGAUGUCUACUAGCCGUUGGGGCCUUUGAGGCUUUAGUGGCGCAGCUAACGCGAUAAGUAGACCGCCUGGGGAGUACGGUCGCAAGACUAAAACUCAAAUGAAUUGACGGGGGCCCGCACAAGCGGUGGAGCAUGUGGUUUAAUUCGAUGCAACGCGAAGAACCUUACCUGGCCUUGACAUACUAGAAACUUUCCAGAGAUGGAUUGGUGCCUUCGGGAAUCUAGAUACAGGUGCUGCAUGGCUGUCGUCAGCUCGUGUCGUGAGAUGUUGGGUUAAGUCCCGCAACGAGCGCAACCCUUUUCCUUACUUGCCAGCAUUUCGGAUGGGAACUUUAAGGAUACUGCCAGUGACAAACUGGAGGAAGGCGGGGACGACGUCAAGUCAUCAUGGCCCUUACGG
rnacentral:rRNA from 1 species